rnacentral:rRNA from 1 species
GUCGAGCGAAGCACUUUUUUAGAACUCUUCGGAGGGAAGAGAGGGUGACUUAGCGGCGGACGGGUGAGUAACGCGUGGGCAACCUGCCUUACACAGGGGGAUAACAAUUAGAAAUGAUUGCUAAUACCGCAUAAGACCCCAGUACCGCAUGGUACAGGGGUAAAAACUGAGGUGGUGUAAGAUGGGCCCGCGUCUGAUUAGGUAGUUGGUGGGGUAGAAGCCUACCAAGCCGACGAUCAGUAGCCGACCUGAGAGGGCGACCGGCCACAUUGGGACUGAGACACGGCCCAAACUCCUACGGGAGGCAGCAGUGGGGAAUAUUGCACAAUGGGGGAAACCCUGAUGCAGCGACGCCGCGUGAGUGAGGAAGUAUUUCGGUAUGUAAAGCUCUAUCAGCAGGGAAGAAAAUGACGGUACCUGACUAAGAAGCCCCGGCUAACUACGUGCCAGCAGCCGCGGUAAUACGUAGGGGGCAAGCGUUAUCCGGAUUUACUGGGUGUAAAGGGAGCGUAGACGGAAUUGCAAGUCUGAUGUGAAAAUCCGGGGCCCAACCCCGGAACUGCAUUGGAAACUGUAUUUCUAGAGUGUCGGAGAGGCAAGUGGAAUUCCUGGUGUAGCGGUGAAAUGCGUAGAUAUCAGGAGGAACACCAGUGGCGAAGGCGGCUUGCUGGACGAUGACUGACGUUGAGGCUCGAAAGCGUGGGGAGCAAACAGGAUUAGAUACCCUGGUAGUCCACGCUGUAAACGAUGGAUACUAGGUGUGCGGGGACUGACCCCCUGCGUGCCGCAGCUAACGCAAUAAGUAUCCCA